rnacentral:tRNA from 1 species
GAAUGAGAUAGGUUCUGAUUUAGACUUCUAAUCUUAAAUUAUAAAGGUUCGAUUCCUUUUUCAUUCU